GCCGUGCAUUUAGAAGCGGCUCUGUCAGCUCUCUGACCACAUUGCAGAGCCAGCAAAGGCAUGCCUGUGUCCAGGUCACGUGAUGACCCGUCGGCUGUCAGUCCAGAGGCCAACGGGAGCGAUGCUACAGCCAGAGAACAAGUAGAAGAGCCGAGGACUGUUUACAAGCGGGAGCAUGUAUUGCUGGAACAAGUAGUUCUCUGAAAUCCGGGCAUCUGAACCAGCUUGUUUAUCCCUAAGGCAGAGCGGGUGGGCCCGCUUGGAGAUCGCCAACGUGAAAGCCGGGGUAUUUUGUGACCCUGAACCAGGUAGCCAAGAAGGAAAGUGGGCCAUUCCGAGAAAAGACUGAAUAAAGACAAGCUGCCGAGGAGGAAAGGGGGAGCAUGGGUAAUGCUGUCAACAAUAAAGAUACAUUUUAAAAGUAAUAAUAAUAAUUAAUAAAUAAAGCCACUGGCGCCAUCACCUUGCAUUGCAGACUUGGU